AGGACAGUCUGGGACUUCCCUCCCAUCCCCCCAAACCUUGGCGAUGGCAAGCCUCAAGGUCCCUGCCCGUUCCGGAAUUCUCCUGACUCCAGGAGACACGGUUCCUGGGAGUAGAGCCCCUGUGUGUUCCCCAAAAGGCCAGAAGCUUGAGAUUUAAAAAAAAAUCCAAAAAACCAAAACCCUGGACUCCAGAAGGAUACAUACACAACUGUCAUCAAUGGAGUAGCCAUUGUGCUGAGAAUGCGAAGAUACAAAACCAUCUCCUGGGCCACAUCUGCAUCCUCUUCUGAAUCCACAGCAGCUAUAGUCACAAAGUGAUGGAGGGAAGAAAGCAUCUUUGAUGCCUGGCAUGGGGCCUCAAGCGUGGUCAGCAAGCACUGUGGAAGCAAUGGAAAAAGGUGAAAAAGAACAGAAAAGGAG
ensembl:lncRNA